AUUACUCAACUCCCUUGAUUUUUAUUUUCAUUCGAGUUGGAUUUGGAGGAACUUAUUGCUGGCCCUUUUGUGGGUCGGCUCCUCUUAAAUGCAUUAGCUGAGCUUUCACUUGAUGCAAUGGUGUAAUAAUUAUCUUCACCGAUGCAACUAGUGAUAUGGGCUUGCUUCUAGUCGUCUCUUUCGGGACAUUAUAAAAGAAAACUUCUUUUUGACUC
rnacentral:misc_RNA from 1 species